UACGUAGGGGCCUAGCGUUGUCCGGAUUUAUUGGGCGUAAAGAGCUCGUAGGCGGUUCGGUAAGUCAGGUGUGAAAUCUCCACGCUCAACGUGGAGGCGCCACCUGAAACUGCCGUGACUAGAGUCCGGUAGGGGAGUGUGGAAUUCCCGGUGUAGCGGUGAAAUGCGUAGAUAUUGGGAGGAACACCAGUGGCGAAGGCGGCUCACUGGACCGGUACUGACGCUGAGGCGCGAAAGCGUGGGGAGCAAACAGG
rnacentral:rRNA from 1 species